rnacentral:rRNA from 1 species
CCUACGGGGGGCAGCAGUGGGGAAUAUUGCACAAUGGGCGCAAGCCUGAUGCAGCCAUGCCGCGUGUGUGAAGAAGGCCUUCGGGUUGUAAAGCACUUUCAGCGGGGAGGAAGGCGUUAAGGUUAAUAACCUUGUCGAUUGACGUUACCCGCAGAAGAAGCACCGGCUAACUCCGGUGCCAGCAGCCGCGGUAAUACGGAGGGUGCAAGCGUUAAUCGGAAUUACUGGGCGUAAAGCGCACGCAGGCGGUCUGUCAAGUCGGAUGUGAAAUCCCCGGGCACAACCUGGGAACUGCAUUCGAAACUGGCAGGCUAGAGUCUUGUAGAGGGGGGUAGAAGUCCAGGUGUAGCGGUGAAAUGCGUAGAGAUCUGGAGGAAUACCGGUGGCGAAGGCGGCCCCCUGGACAAAGACUGACGCUCAGGUGCGAAAGCGUGGGGAGCAAACAGGAUUAGAUACCCUUGUAGUC